GAUGAAGAACGUAGCGAAAUGCGAUAAGUAAUGUGAAUUGCAGAAUUCAGUGAAUCAUCGAAUCUUUGAACGCACAUUGCGCCCGCUGGUAUUCCAGCGGGCAUGCCCGUUCGAGCGUCAUUUGUACCUUCAAGCUCUGCUUGGUGUUGGGUGUUUGUCUCGCCUCUGCGUGUAGACUCGCCUCAAAACAAUUGGCAGCCGGCGUAUUGAUUUCGGAGCGCAGUACAUCUCGCGCUUUGCACUCAUAACGACGACGUCCAAAAGUACAUUUUUACACUCUUGACCUCGGAUCAGGUAGGGAUACCCGCUGAACUUAAGCAUAUCAAUAAGCGGAGGA
rnacentral:misc_RNA from 1 species